rnacentral:rRNA from 1 species
GUGCAGCAGUCGCGCAACCUCUGCAAUACGCGAAAGCGUGACGGGGCUACCCCGAGUGUCGUCCGCUGAGGACGACUUUUCCACGCUGUAAGGAGGCGUGGGAAUAAGGAGAGGGCAAGUCUGGUGUCAGCCGCCGCGGUAAUACCAGCUCUCCGAGUGGUAGGGACGAUUAUUGGGCUUAAAGCGUCCGUAGCCGGCUCAGCAAGUCUCCCGUUAAAUCCAACGAUUCAAUCGUUGGACUGCGGGAGAUACUGUUGAGCUAGGAGGCGGGAGAGGCCAACGGUAUUCCCGGGGUAGGGGUGAAAUCCUAUAAUCCCGGGAAGACCACCAGUGGUGUAGGCGGUCGGCUAGCACGCGCUCGACAGUGAGGGACGAAAGCUGGGGUAGCGAACCGGAUUAGAUACCCGUGUAGUCC